GUCCGGUCCCUUGCCCUUUUACUUUAGGUGACCGAAUCUGGAUUGAAGCGUGAGCCACCACCAUCCAAACAACCUUACCCAAAAUCAAUUCAUGUUGGAAAUCUAAUUGGAGAUAAAGAUGUUGAAUGAACAGAAAAUUAAGCUAAAGCAAACCAAUUGAUUGAGUAUGGGAAUUAAAGAAUGGAUGGAACAAGAAGGAGAAGAAGGUUCAUAAUGGGUUUGAAGAAUUGGAAGAGCUCAUAACUAGCCCUUAAGCCUCUUUGGGUGUUCACUAGCAUUUUAAGCCGACGAAAUUCCUGUCGUUUGGGCAUCAAUCUCAUAUAAUUUGGAUCAAUAUUGAAGUAUGGGGACGCUUCUGAAGCUGAGGUACUGAUGUUGUCAAUUUCUGGUUUUUUACGCGCACGACUACAUGAACGGAUGCUUGAGAACGUACGGAGAAGCUCGGUGACACUGGAAAUCUCAGGUGGGUUUGUUUAAGUAAAGACAUGACAGCCAUAAGACCAAAGCAUAGGAAAAUUAUAUUUGCAAAGUUAGUAACAUUGAUGAUAUAGUUUAGAAUUGCUAUAAUUUGAAAUGCUUGAGUAUUUUCCCUUCCCCAUACUCAAAUGUGUUGUGAAUGUGUUGAAUAAUCAUAGUUUCAUGAGGUAUAAGUUAAGAGUUAACGGGCAUCGUUAGAAGUUGGUUUAAGAACUUGGUUUUCAUGAAAAACCCCAUUUUAUGCAGUAUCAAUCGAUUAAAACAUGACCACUUCUGCCCCAAUCGAUUGACAGCCUUACAAAGCACAAGAAAAACUGAUUUUUGACUGUCUCAAUUGAUUGAGACAUAAUCCCUGUUGUCUCAAUCGAUUGGCCCUGUGUAAAAUGGGAAAAUUCUGUUCUUUUAAGGCCCGGACGACUCCCGACUCGUACGAUAAUGGUCCUAGAUUAUUAAACAUGUUCACACACCAUUUCAACAUCAAUUUUUAGGAUGAAAUAAUGAUAACAUAGAGCUUAUGACUUAUGCAAGUUUCCCUAUAAUUAGAUACAUUAACAUCAUAUUCGAUUAUGAACCUGCUGGCUCAGUUCUCUGCAACUGGUAAUAAACUCUAUUUACGGAAACAUUUCUUCAUGUUUCUGAGACUAUACAAAUAUGUUGGAUGAUGUCAUGCUUGAUGCUUCUUGUACUACCUAGCAUCUAGCAAUGUGACAGUGACUUGGUUCACACUCCAUGUUUCAUCUUGUUUACUUGAAGAGGAAUCAGUUUCAGGAGGAUUCAUUGACCUUCCUCCGAGGGAAAACCCUGGGCUUCUAGGUUCUGGCAUUAGUGCAGUUUCACUGCUAAGCAUCAAGAGCACUGAAGGCAUUGUUGGCCUAUCUUCUGCACGUUCUUGGACACACAAUAGUCCAACAUGUAUGCAUCUAAGAACUUCAGAUUGUGCAUAUGAAUCGCCAAUCGAUGAAUCAAUGAGUUUCAAUGCAGUGCCUUCUCUCCACUGCGUCCAUGCCUACAUCAAGAAAAAAAAAAUCUUAGUACUUAUUAUUUAGUAGAAAAUUAUAUCAUAGUAUUCUAAUUGAAGAAUCGCUCUCGCGUACAUUUUUUAGAAGAUUCAUAUCAUCAUUUGUGUAACAGAAUCCUCUAUUUUUCUUUCCACUUAUAAUCUCUAGCACAAGAACUCCAAAGCUAAAUACAUCUGAUUUUACUGAGAA